CGUCCUGCGAGGUGUCUUGCAGGCCGUCGUGCAGGCCGCGCUGACGGCAACGUUGCAGGUCGCCUUGCAGGGCUCCUCGCAAGACG
rnacentral:pre_miRNA from 1 species